rnacentral:lncRNA from 1 species
CCCCCUGGAAAUUUAUUGCAUACAUGAGCAGCAUGUUGAAUAUAUUAUCAGCAGAUCACUUGAUAGCAUAUCUUCUUUGAAUACUUACGGUUUGGUUGAUGAGGAUGGCGUGAAAGAUGGCUGCUCCACUCCGGGUAUGUUUGAUGCGAGCAUACAAAACCUUUGCCGUUGCGUCCCAACCUCUACUGUAUAUAUGUAGGUUUUCUAUUUCGCUGAACCUUACAUGUCUGCAAUUGGUUGGCAAAGAGCACAAUUCUGUACAUUUACUUAUGAUAAUAACUAAAAGUAGGAAUGGAUAAAAUGUUGCCUGGCGAUCGGCGGUGGAGGGCCAAUGGGAGCGGGAACGAAGUUCACAGGCGGUGGUGCCAUGACCCUCUUCGAGCCAGGAUGGCCCAUCCUGGGUCCCAUCACCAUGAGCGCCAAGACCAUAUUUCUCUUCAACACGACUCAUGGUUCAGAACGCAGAAUGAUUUUUAUAGUGGUAUAUGGCGGGAAAUAGAAGCGCUGGAAUUUUGUAUUGGCAUGGUAUACAGACGUAUAUUGACUGAUCUGACUAUUUUCAUUUUCAUUGGCGCGAAGUAAACCAUGGUGAUAGAAAAAAGGAAGUGAUUGAAAGAAGGAAGGAGAUUGAUCACCGUUUGAUUGAAAGAAGGAAGGAGAUUGAUCACCGUCAUGACUGAAUUGAUUGCCAUGCAUGAAUUGAUUGCGUUUGGAUUGAUUGUUGAUUGAUUGCGCUUGGUUGCCUUAUGUGAAUUAUUUCUUUA